AGGGCAAUCAGAAGGCUAAUCCACCUCAUAAAAUGCUGAAGACCUAGGUAAAUCACACAAAUUAUGACCUUAGAAGAGUCGCACUUAUUCUAAGGUGACCCCAAGGGAUCCUUUUCCUUGUCUCUGUGAAUUCAAUAUGUGUUCUAGAUUUUGAAUGGAAACAAAAACCCCAACAACUAUUUCCAAAGCUUCUUCUGCUAUUACAUUGUUAAGCCUGAAAAGAGAGAUGGGAAACACACACACACACACACACACACACACACACACACAAUAUAGAAAUAAGUCCUUUUAAAGCACAAAGCUAAGGUGUUCUCCAUUUGGUAUGUAGACCUUAAAUACUUCUGACAGCUUAAUUUUCUUAUAUGAUAUGCAGGAAAUGUGAAAUUAAUCCCCCAAAUUAUGCUAAUACACUGAUUCUGCGGUGGUUUGUUUCAUGCCUGGUAACUCAAAGCAUCCAGUUCCUAAAGCUUUACACUUUGAAAAUCAAACCUCUGGCCAGAGAAAAUCAAAGGCUCACACCAAAUAAAGAGAUAGGGGGAUGCCUGAAACUGUUACAUUUAAAUGUGGUCCUGUAAUAUGCUAAUUUCAUUCUAAAUCAAUUAAUAAGCAUUUAUUAAACAUCUAUUAUGCAUCAGACAGCAUGAUAGAUAUUAGUGAUCCAAAGACAAGAUUUUGAGAUUCACUAUUCCAGGCAUUAAAUUGUUACCAAAUUACUUACUUUGGUGCUUUCCAUAUAUUAUCUUAUUUCAUUCUCACAAUAACUCUGUGAAGUGGGUCCUAUCAAGAACCUUACUUUACAGAGGAAGAAACUGAGAUUGACAAAGUGAUCUGCUCAGAGUCACAUAGCUACCUUUUAAGCAUCUGUGGCAGGAUUCAAACUGGAAAAUCAGAGACUGUCUUUUACUUUUCUUUGUAUCCCCAUUGCUCAGCACAAUGGCUGGCACAUAGUAGGUGCUUAAUACAGUCAUCUCUUCCACAUUGAGUGGAGAUAGGGGUAUGGUACCUCUGUAAGACAUAAAAUCCACUGAAACUUUGUUCUUUUCCCUUCCUAUCAGAGAAGUCUAUUUUUUUUUCUUUUUUUCAUUUCUAGAGUGUUUAUAAUACCUUAUUGUAAAAUUUGGAUUGAGUAUUUAGUCACAGACUCUUAUUUUGUCUGCUGAUCUUCAUAUGUCAUCCGUGGGUUCUGCAAAAAUCCCCCCAAAUUCCCAUUUGAUUUAUUUAUUUAUUUAUUUUGUAUGCUAAAGGGCAAUAUAUCGAAACCGAGAAGGGAAAAAGUUGCGAUGUGAAAGGGAUAACUGCAAUUGCUUUCUGAGUGGUCUCCUGACUGCUCAUUUCGCCACCUAGUGGCCAGAUCAUUGUUACUGUAAUUCUUUAAAUGCUUAGGACAGGGGUUAUUAACUUUUUGGGUCAUGGAGCCCUUUGACAACAUGGUAAAACCUAAGAACUAUUUAGAAUAAUUUUAUUGUACAGAAUUAUAAAAAAAGCAAUGAUACAGAAACACAGAAGACUGUGACAAUAAACACUCUAAUAGUGGGUCUAAAAUGGACAGUAAUUUCAAAGCAAUGAAAAGCAAAAUGAUAUUUUAGGAUUUCUGCAAUAACUUUAAGGUGAUGGAACAAUGUCCAAUUUCUCUUAGUGAAGACACAGGUACUGCUAAUACUACUGUGCUUUGUUGCCUAUAUUUGUAAAUUAAAGAAAUGUUCAAUUUUAAUCAAAAAUUAGUGAAAUAUAUAGAUUUUUACCCCUGUUAGACCUGCCAGGUUAAGAACACUUUAUACUUAUGAUUUUGUAAAUAAAAUAGGGUAAGGCCUUUAAAAUUUUGCCCUUUUUAAUCCCCUUCUGCCAUUUUAAAAAUGGCAGAAAACAUAGGACAAAAUAUGUAAUUUUUCCCAGACCAAGUUACCCAAAAAAUCAAUUUCAAAGCAAUACACAUUUAUUGAAGAGCUGGUAAAAUAUAUGAAGUACUCAUUUCAAUUCAGCAAAAACUGAUAAAGUACUUACUAUACACAGGGUACUGUUAUGCUGGUUCUGAUUCAAUAAUUCACAGACUGCAUUUAUUGAAGAGUCAAGGUUAACAUCUUCAAGUAGAAUUAUGAUAGAUUUAGUAGAGAUGUCUCUGACUUCCCUAGUUUGGCAUAUUUAAUAUACUCACUGAUGGCUUCAUUCAUUCUACAAGUAUUUAUUAUAUUACAACUAUGUGUAUGAUAUUAUAUGAGGAUAUAAAUGAGAUGAAAAUAAGUAUUGACUUGGUCUCUGACAUCAAAUGAAUCUACAAUUCUGUAUGGUAUAUUUAGUACAGAGAGACUUGGAAAGUUUGGGUUUAAAUCCAACUUCCUGGACUAAAAUCCUUUCCACUAGCUGUGCAAGCUUGGGUAAGUCACUUUAUCUCUUUGGGGUUUACUUCUUCAUUUGUAAAAUUAUAGGUUAGAAGGCAGUAUCUUCCAUUUAUAAAUCUAUGAUGCUACAGUUCUUCAUGAAGCAAGGAAGCAAACCAGUGUAUCUGACUGAGACUAAAAUGAGAAACACAUAUAACCUGAAAUUAACAGAGAAGGCCCAUUUUACAUAGCUUAAGAAACCAAUCUGACAGCCAUAAGUGUCCACCCCAAAAGUCAAGGAAAGACUAGUAGAAAGAUGAUACUAAAAAUAUUAUCGUCUAACUAAAGAUACUGGAGUAGUUUGCCAUUUCCUUCUCCAAAUAAUUUUAUAGAUGAAGAAAUUGAAGUACAUAGAAUUAAGUAACUUGCUUAGUGUCAUUCAGCUAAUAAGUGUCAGAAGCCAUAUUUGAACUCAGGAAGAUGAAUUUUCCUGAUUCCAGACUAGGUAACCUAUUUUCUAUGCUACUUAGCUGUCCCAGGAUUUAAAUAAUGCAUUAAAUUAAUAGAAUGAUUUACCCCAGAAGCCAGAACUGUUAGUUGCAUUUGUUACUUCUAUUUAAAUCAAAGGAAGAGUUGCUAAUUUGUUUAGUUAGAUGUGAGAUCAGAGAUUAUGAGAAGACUCUUGAGACACAUGGGAAGGGAAGGAUAUGGGGUCUAAUGCUUCUAGAGCAUGGUAUGAAAUGCAUUGAUAUUUCUUUCCAUGAUCUCCAUUUAUAGUGAAGCAAUAAUAGAAUUAUUAAACAAUAAUAACAGAUUAUUCUAAAACAAUAAUAGAAACUGAUUUGUAGCAGUAAGUCCACAAUGAAGUUUGAAAGGACAACCAUAAUAAUAAUUUUUUUUAAAAUGGCUAGAAUGUAUCUUUCUUUGGCCUUAAUUUAGAACAUUUGAGCAAAGUACUUGAAUCUUUUGGUUCAGAAGUUGAAUUAUAAGAGCAUUGCUUUGAACCAUUAAAUACAAUACAUUCUGUUAAAGAUAUCAAGGCAAUGGCUAUUCUCUUUAACAAACCUGUGUCAGGUGUUUGUAAGGGUGCACUCAUUUUAAUUCAUCUUUAAUGAACACCCACCCACACAGAGCUUCAUUUUUCAUCCUAAUGUGUUUGGAACUUCCAGUCCAAUAGCAAUCUCAUCUUUCUUCAUCAAGAAGUUAAUGAAAUUACCAGGUGUAACCAGCUGAGGUGAUGGUUUGUUUAAAAGAAGAACUGGAAGUAAUACCAAUGAAGGUCAAAUCUACACAAGGAAAUUGCAAUGGACGAGAACAGAAUGAAAUAUAUCCCCAUUUGAAUGUGCUGAUGGCAUUCAAAUAUACUCACUUCUGAAAGGCAAGACUAAUAGUCAAAAUUAUCCUCAAGAGGAUAAGUGGAUGGUAGUACAAUAAGUAAAAAAAGAAUUUAUAUAUCCUUAAGAAUUAAUCUGGAGUCUCAUUUCUUCCAAGAAGCCUUGACUUUUGACACUUGACAAGUGUGAAUAAUAUUUCACACAAUAUAGAACUUGACAGUUUCCAUAAUGUUUUUUAAUAGCCAUCCUGUGUGGUGAAUGCUACAACUAUCAUUUCCCCCAUUUUAAAGCAAAGAAACUGAGGUUCAAAGGUGUUAAGUAAGUAAUCCCAGGCCAUGAAAACAGGUUUUUAUGGAUUCCAAGUUCAUUGAACUACCUGUGACCACUGACCUAUGCCUCUGACAAGAUUAGUAUGAUUCAGUUAGUACUUUUCUCAUCUAUUAUCCCAUCAUUCUUCCUGUUUGUUUCAUGUCUUUGUUUCCCUAAGAAGAUUAUAAUCUCCUCUGAAGUAUGGAUUUUGUCAGGUAAUAGUUUUGGGUCCCCCCUAGCAGCUAGCAAGGUGUUGAAUAUAUCAUGGCUGUUCAAAUACUUAUAAAAUUGAAUUGAGCACAUAUACACAGGAGAGAGAAAGAUGGUUAAACAUAGGCAGAGUGGAACAGAUUUAUAGGUCUAUAGAGAGCCACACAUUUGAAAUAUAAAGCAGAAAUGCCAUGCCACGUGAAAAAGGACAACAUGAACUUGGCAAGCAUUAAAAGGAAUAAGGCACAUAUAAACUGGGAAAUAAUUAUCAUUCUUCUGUACUCUUUACUAGUCAGAACCCUAUUGUAGCCUAAAGCUCAGACUGACUUAUUUCACUAUAAAGAGAGGGCUAAGACACCAGAGAGCAAAGAGCAGACAGUGAAUGGAAGGAUGGAAAAUCUGUCUUCUGAGAAAAGGGUAAAAGAACUGAGCUUGUUUGUGAGAGGUAAUCUAAUUAAUGCUUUCCUAGAAGAUGGAUUUGUAAGUUUUCUACUGGCAGGGAGCAAAAGCUAUGUUAUCCAUGUUUCCCAUCUAACCUGGGCUAUCAGUAAAAUCAAAACCAAGUAUUGGAAACUAUUCAAAUUAGGUCUUUAAAGAUAUCUAUUCCUUCUAUUUAUUUCAGAUAAUCCUUUUUUUUCAGUUUUAUACCUGAAUGUCUUUUUCUUGCUCUAUUGCAAUUGCCUCCUUAUUAGAAUCCCUGCCUUCAUUAUUUUACUUCUUCAAUUGAUUUUGCAUAAAGUGAAAAAAUACACUUUUCUAAAAUAUAGGUCUGGAUUAUAUUCCCUUGCUUAAGAAUAAAAUAAUAGGAAAACAAACCUAGAGCUAGAACAUCCACCCAUAUUUACAAAUGAAGCCUGGACAGGUUAAAUGGCUUAUUUCAAAUUUAUGCAAUUUGCAAAGUGGGGUUUGCACCCAGAGCCUCUGACUCCAAAAACAUUCUACCAUACCUAGGAUUUUAGCUUGCUGGGAGGAUAAAGUUAGUGGACUUCUUGGGCUCAGGAGGUCUGAGCUCAUUGCAGCUUCUGCUAUGUCCUCACUAAAUUUGUCACUGGGAGUUCCAACAUGGGGGGUUAUCAAGUUGCCUAAGAAGCAAAGUGGUGUAACUUGGAAGUAGAACACAUCAAAGCUUUUGAGUCAAUAAUGGGAUUAGAUCCAUGACUGAGUCACUGAGACCUAGGAAACUCCAUGGGACUAACCUGUUAUAAAUAAGUUGUAGGAGCAUGUAACAGGCAGCUAUGUGGUUCAGUGAACAGAGUGCCAGGUGUAGAGUCAGGAAAAGUCAUCUCCCUGGGUUUAAAUCUGGCCUCAGACACUUACUAGCUGUGUGACCCUGAAGAAGUCACUUAAUCCUUUUUUACCUCAGUUUCCUUAUCUGUAAAAUGAACUGGAGCAGGAAAUGGCAAGUCAUUCCAGUAUUACUAAGUAUUACUAAGAAAACCCUAAUGGGGUAACAAAGAGUUGGACACAACUGAAAUUAUUCAAGAACAAUAACACUGGAGUAUAUAGAAAUGGGAGUGGGGAAAGAGCUGGAUUUGGGAUGAGCAAGAAGAGCUUAUCUCCAUAAUUCAUGCAUGUGUUCAGUAGAUUUCUAAAGACUCGCUAUAGAUUCAUCAGGGUUUCACCUGUUUGUUUCUGUCACUUCCUGUUAAUUCAAGCCCAGCUAACAGUAAGCAAUAAUUAAACCCCAUUCAUUUCCCAAAUCACAAAGCCACCCUGUUUCUGCAUUCACUCAAUAUUUGUAAUUAUGCUAAUUAUGUACAACACACAGAGGGGUUAUUAAAUAGUGAUUUUGUUUAAGUAUGUGCUAAUUACAUAAUGCAGACUACACGGUCAGCUAGAAAUGAGUCUUUGUACAAAAUAAUCUAGAUAUUAAAUACAUAUUCAAAUAAUAAAUCCUCUUUUAAUGAUGAUCAGGCACUUCCAUUGGAAACAACGAAAGUGAGUCUCAACAGCCAACCAAACGAUGGGCCCAUGAUACCAUUGUUACCACUGACAUUGCACAUAAAGUAUCUAAGUUAAAGAAAAAACAAAAUAAAAACAAAACACAAAAAGGCAUAUAUGGCAAGUUCAUUACCAGUAAUCAUAAAUAUUGUCUGCAUUAUUAUGUUAUAUAAGCUUCAGAAUGAAUUUUUUAAAUGUACUUGAAAUAUUUAUAAUAACUUAAACCUUAACUUUAAAAAGUUAUCUUUCUUGACAAUAACAAAAAGGAACUGUGAUUUCAACAGAAUGUGGAACUACCAAUGUGGAAGGAGAAUCUUCUUCCACAAAGCAGCUUAUAACCCACCAUGAUUUAGUAGCUAUUUGGAGUUAUUUGAAUCAGGAUAGGCUAAAUGUCUUGAAAGAAAGGGCAGAUGUGGGAUUUGAAUUUGGAGGUUCAAGAAUUUAAGCACACCAUUCUAUUAUUCCACAUUGCCUCUAAUUUUCUAGUGUUGCUUAAUAAGGCAGAUUUCCAAAGUAUUAUUUAUGUCUAUUAAUCCUUUGAAAAUCGGUCAUUUAGAUGAUUGUUGGAGGGGAUGCGGGAAAACUGGGACAUUGAUGCAUUGUUGGUGGAGUUGUGAACGGGUCCAACCAUUUUGGAGAGUAGUUUGGAACUAUGCUCAAAAAGUUAUCAAACUGUGCAUACCCUUUGAUCCAGCAGUGUUACUACUGGGAUUAUAUCCCAAAGAGAUUAUAAAGAAGGGAAAGGGACCUGUAUGUGCAUGAAUGUUUGCGCAGCCCUUUUGUAGUGGCUAGAAACUGGAAACUGAAUGGAUGUCCAUCAGUUGGAGAAUGGCUGAAUAAAUUGUGGUAUAUGAAAAUUAUGGAAUAUUACUGUUCUGUAAGAAAUGACCAACAGGAUGAUUUCAGAAAGGCCUGGAGAGACUUACACGAACUGAUGCUGAGUGAAAUGAGCAGGACCAGGGGAUCAUUAUAUACUUCAACAACAAUACUAGAUGAUGACCAGUUCUGAUGGAUCAGGCCAUCCUCAGCAACGAGAUCAACCAAAUCAUUUCUAAUGGAGCAGUAAUGAACUGAGCUAGCUAUGCCCAGAAAAAUAACUCUGGGAGAUGACUAAAACCAUUACAUUAAAUCCUCUAAUCCCUAUAUUUAUGCACACAUGCAUUUUUGAUUUCCUUCACAAGCUAAUUGUACAAUAAUUCAGAGUCUGAUUCUUUUUGUACAGCAAAAUAAUGUUUUGUCAUGUAUACUUAUUGUGUAUCUAAGUUAUAUUUUAAUAUAUUUAACAUCUACUGGUCAUCCUGCCAUCUAGGGGGGGGGUAAGAGGUGAAAAAUUGGAACAAGAGGUUUGGCAAUUGUUAAUGCUGUAAAGUUACCCAUGUAUAAAUCCUGUAAAUAAAAGGCUAUUAAAUAAUAAUUAAAAAAAAAGAAAAUCAGUCAUUUAGGUGACACAAAUAUAAAAUAUUUAUAGCUAGAAGGUGAUGAAUAGCAUUCUGAGAUUUCUAAGCCCUCAAAUCCAUGGUGUUUACGAGGAACUCUUAAUCAUAUGCCUAAUAUUGUGUAUAAUUACUUCAUAAGGAAGCAGAGAUGGGAGAUAUUGGGGCAUACUCAUACAUGAUAUUCAAUGAAGACCUAUAUGUCAGGGGGCAAUGCUGUGAUAUUCCUGCCUCAGUUUACUUUCAUGAACAUUACCCAAUCCCAACCUUUAGCACAAAAACUCCAAUAUCUUUGUUUCCUUACUUUUUUUUUAAAAGAAGAAAAAAGUAAAGGACCAUGUUUCAAGAGCUCUUUUUCCCAGAUAAGCAAGUUUUAUCUUUUAAUUUGACUCAAUAACAAAAUAUAUUGCUUGAAUUAUAUUUAUGCACAAAUAAUAGUUUGAUUUCCAAAAUGACCCCUUUUUAAAAAAUCAAGUACACAAUGAUUUCUGAGUGUUUUAGGUUCAAAAUUUUAGCAUCAUCCUUGACACCUUCUUCUCCUUCACUUCCUACAUUUAAUCAGUCACUGUCAAACCCUACUAAUUUUGUAAGAUCUUUCACAUUCAUUCUAUGAUUCUUUCCUCAUUCUAAUUCUAUUUCCUUAUCUAUAUAAUAAGGGGAUAAUAAUACAUGCUGAUUAAGUCCAUUUGUCUCCCUAAACUUAAAAUUUUCUUAUCUAUAGAAUGGAAAUAAUGACCCAUAUGCUAACAAUCUCAAAGGACAGUUGUAAGGAUAAUGCUUUACAUACUUAUAAUACUACAAAAAGUAAACUUUGAAUAUUACUGUCUCCUUAUUCAGGGUCUAAUCAACUUUUACCUGGACAAUCAAAAAUCUUCCUUACUGGAAAUGUUCUACUUCAGUCCAUUCUAUAUGCCAUUUUCAGAAUGCUCUGCCUAAAAUACCAUUUUGUCCAUGUUAUAAUUCCUUCCCCCACAAAAAUUCUACUUCCCCUACUUAAAAGAUCCUUUCUUCUUUUCUCUACUUACUUAACUCCCAUAUCUUCCAUGAAAAUUUCCAUAUUUACCUCAGCCCAAAGUGAUUUCUUCUUUUACUCAACUUUUUUAAAAAAAUUAUUCUUUAUUUGUAUAGCCCCCUUGAAGAACAAAACAUGGAGUUACCUCCUAUUGCUAUUCACCUACCAUGAGAAUAUGGUAGACCUUGUCAUAGUUACAUAUUUAAAUUUAUCUGGAAUCUCAUCAAUAUAAAAAUACUUCUUCUGGUUCCACUUCACACCUAUUAGAUUGGCUAACAUAAUGGAAAAAGGAAAAUAGCAAAUGUUGUAGAGGAUGUGGAAAAAUUGGGAUAUCAGUGGAGUUGUGAAUUGACCUAAUAAUUCUGGUGAACAAUUUGGAACUAUACCUAAAGGACUAUACAAAUAUACAUACCUUUUGAUCUAGAAAUACCAAUACUAGAAAUACCAUCCCAAAGAGAUCAAAGAAAAAGGAAAAGAUUGUAUUUUCACAAAAAAAUAUUUUGGUGAAUAGCUGAUCAAAAAAUAACAAACAGGAUGAUUUCAGAAAAAAAAAUUGGGAAAUUUAUAGGAAUUGAAGCAAAAUGAAGUGAGUAGAACCAGAUGACUGUACAAUCAAUAUUGUACAAUGAUUAGCUGUAAAUCUUACCUAUUCUAAUCAAUACAAUGAUCCAAGACAAUUUCAAAGGACUUAUGAUGAAAAAUGCUCUCAACAGCCAAAGAAAGAACUCACAGAGUCUAAGUACAGAUUGAAGCAUAUUUUUUUCACUUUGUUUUUCUUGCUUUUUUUGGUAAUAUGGCUAAUAAGGAAAUAUUUUUGGCUGAUUUCAAAUGUAUAAUUGGUAUCACAUUUCUUGCCUUUUAAAAUGGUAGGGAAGAAGAAAAUUCAGAACUCAAACAUUUUUUUUAAAUGUUGGAAAAAAUCAUAAAGAAAACAAUUAAAAAAUAAUAGUUUCCCAAUAGUGGAGAUUGCCACCUAUCUAUGCCUGCCUUUUCUCUUUUUUUUUAGUAUAUGAAAGCUCAAAAGGUCAACAUAUCUAUAUGGGGGAAAUCGAGAUCAUCACCCAAUGUGCUACAGGCUUUCCUUGCUUUCUCUUGACAUCAAGAGUGCACGAGAAACACUAUAGCUGUCCAUUUGUAAUUCCUCACCCUUGUCUUCCUAUCUAUACAUUUUUGAUGGCAUUUUUGAUUCUUGUUCCUUAAAGUUUUUCAUUGCUUAUUUUCUACAGAUUGCUCCUACCCAUCACUUUUCUUUGUAGACAGGAACCAUCUCCUAUAUAUACCUCUUUGUAUUCCUAAUACUUAGCACAUCAUUGAGAAGAUAUUUGAUAAUUAUUUGUAGAUAUUAAUCAUGUUGAUGAUGACAAAACAGCAAUGAGAAGGAGGGGAAGAAGGAAGAGGAAAAUAUUAAUCUUACUGAUCCUCUGAUUUUAGCUUGUUGCCUGCUCAGGAAAAGAAUGCAAAUUAUUCCAUUCUUGGACUGAAAUGAUGUGGAUUGCCUUCCCAAAUUUCCAGAGCUCAGACAAGUAGAAUGAGGUUCAAAUACCUGCUUAUGGCCAACUAAAACACCCGUUGGGAAAUUUAAGAGACAAAGAAAAUAAGAGUGGGAAAUUUGAGUAUCUUGCAUUAAGUCCCUUUUGAAAAAAGUCUGAAUCCUUCAGAUCCGCUUUUAAGUAUCUCAGAAUACAGGAACAUUCAUUUAAGCCAAAGAGAUUAGCACUUGUUGAUAUGAUCUCAUACUUUGGCCCAGUGGGUACCCUUGGCAUUUAUGACUAGCAUGGUCAUUCUACUUACUGAACUCUAGAAUAAACUAUUAUCCAUUGGACAUUUUUAUAUAUUCUAGUCUUAAAUGUAUUACUUUUUUAAAAAAGUGCCAUGUGAGAACAAUGACAUAUAGUAGGAAUAAUGUUUUUAUAAAGUAUGGGUUCUCAAGCAUGCAAAUGACAAUUACUGGAUUCUAUUCAGUUAUUCUUUGACUAUUAGCAAUGUAAAAACAUCAUAUCACAUAAAUGGGGUUCAAACUAAAAUAAUUUGAAGCAGCCCUAAUCUUUAACUUUUGGUCCACUAGAAAGUUAUCUAUGAUUUUAGUAAUAAACAAAAUGCUUCCCUUUUCUAGCUACUGAGUUGAUGAACCAAUGUUUUCUAAAGAUAAAAAUACCAUUUGUGCAAUUGUUUUCUCUUUUUCUUCUUUUUUUACUUCCAAAAAUGGAUGUAGGAAUUUCUUUUAACUUUCCAUAUUUACCAAUUCUUCCUUCAGUUCCUCCUUCUAGCAGUAUGAAAUUAUACUGUGAUCUGCUAAAGAUACAUAUAGUAACUGCCUUUUCAGAAAUAUAUCAACUGGGCAAAGGGAGUACAUUGUAAAUUUUACAUUACUUUUGCUUUACUUAUCAGUAUAAUAUAUUUAGUAAAAAAAAGAGAUGAAAUAUACUAUAAGUUCCUUUUUCAUUUAGCAUUUUGCUUUUGUUGUUUAGCCAUUUGAACAAUGUUUAACUCUUAAUGAACACUUUUAGGAUUUUCUUAGCAAAGACACUAGAGUGGUUUGCCAUUUUCUUUUUACAGAUAAGGAAACUUAAGCAAAGAGUUAAGUGACACGUCCAGGAAUACAGAAGUGUUAAAUGUCUGAGACCAGAUUUGAACUUAGAGAGAUGAGUCUUCCUGACUUGAGCCUCAUUUAGCAGUCUGCAUAUUUAGUGUCCUUAUUGUCUAUUAUAUUUGAAUACUAUAAUUUUCAUCUAUACUUGUGAGAAAAAUAGCAUCACUAUUUAGCAAUACAAGCUGACAUGUAUGUAGUAUUUUUCUCAUCCUGGCUGCCUUGUGCACACAUACUGAGGGUUAUUAAAAUUUCAUGUCUUGUUUCAUUAUAUUAUCAUAUUAGGACUCUAAGCUGACAGAGGAAAAAAAUAGGGAAAUAUUUAAUUUUAAAUCUAUCUCUAAGGAAACUCUAAGGAAAAUCUGGAGUCCCCAACUCCAGUGUAUUUUCUAUAUCUUACUGUAGCUAAAAAUGAACACAGACAAAUGGCUUUUGCAUUUUAAUUUUUCUUAUCAACAAGAAGAAAUGGAUUGAAUUGAUUUCAUAAAAAAUGUUAGGUUUCUUAUAUUGCAACUAAGCAUUAUCAUAGUUUUUAUUACAUAAAUUCUACCGUAUCACUGUGUUAUGUGUACACCAAAAAGUAUGACCACUUGACUGAUAAAAUUGUACUAUUUUACUGGAAAAGUAAGAAAGUCCUUUUUGAUUAAGUAACUUCAAAGCACAUAAACAGGGAGGAUGGAGAAAGGAUCAGCUCAACCAGCCAAUAAACCAAUUUUAUAUGAUUUUCAACAAAGCUAUUCCAGAAACAAACACAAAGCAGUUGACAUGGGAAUAAGAAAUGGGAAGGACAAAUUUCAUAUAUUUUUGACUGUUAAAAUUAAUAACCUCAGAAAGUUUCUAAGGACAAGUAUGAUUUAAAUGACUUAUCCAUGGUCACACGGCUUACUGGUUUGAAAACAAUUCUUUCUGAUUCCUAGUUGAAUAUUCUCCAUCACUAGCUGUUUUUCAGCAUUGGGCAAACAUAAAAUUUCUCCUAUGAAAAAUUAGAAGAAAAGAGAGGAAGAAAGAAAAGAAAGAAGGAAGAAACAGCAGCAAAAAUCAUUGAAAAUAUAGAUAAUAAAUAAAAGGGUAAAUAAAAGGGUAGCUAGGUGGUAGAUAGAUCAUCAGCCCUGAAGUCAGGAGGACCUGAGUUCAAAUCUGCCUUUUGACACUUAACACUUCCUGGCUAUGUGACCCUGGGCAAGUCACUUAACCCUAAUUGCCUCAGCAGAGAGAGAGAGAAUAAAUCAAAAAGAAGAUCAGGAUGACUAAGUUAUUAUCUUGUUAUAUUUAACAUACACUUAAAAAUAAGUAACAAAAGUUCACCUUUUUAUAUGAAAUCUCUUUCAUUCUUUCUUUAUUUAAAUGGUGGAUGAUUAAAUUCAUAAUAAAAAUAAAAAAAAAUUGAAUUCUUCUAUUUCCCGCAGGAGACACUCCUAAAGUGUGGGAUGAAGAGGGUGCAAAAUCUGUUGGUCCUGAACAGAUCCAGGAAAUGUCCUCAAUGAAUGGGAUUAGUGUCUUGCAGCUUCGGGCACUUUGAGUGAUAGGGAUGAAGAAGAAGUAUCUCCCUAAUGCUGAAGACCUGUACUCGGUUCUCCUUUCUAACAUUUUAAUCUCCAAAUAAAGGUUGAGUUGACAAUGGAGAUUGUUGCAAUGAUGGAUUAGCAGCACUUUAGAAUGGGGGUGGGGAAGAUAUUAAUGGAGAAAUUACCCCAUUGCAAAGCAUCAAAUCAACCUGUCUCUUCUUCACAUUUAGAACUUCCGCUGAUUAAUGGGACCCAAUUUCUGAUAAAUAGGAGGCGAUGACAAGGUGGGCAUCCAUAUCUAUUCCGAUUAAAUAAUUAAUCACUCUUUAUGAAGGACAGAUAGAUGCCUCCUGAUGCUAGACACACUUUUGGAGGAAUGAAGUCAUUGCUAACAGUGUUCACAGAUUUGGGUUUUUAGAAAGAAUAAUUCUCCUUCUUAGGCUAAGGCAAUGAGCAAAAUCUGCAUAUGGCCCUCAUAAGUAAUGAGAUCCCCAGGGCAAAGCAGGUGACAUCUGCUCCAUGACUAUAAAAUAUGGGUUAAUUUAAAAGAGCCCCCAUCUUCAUUUUAUAGGCAGGCAAAGGGCUUCUCAGUUGGGAAGCUCCAUGCAGUUCCCCCCAGUCACUGCAGGAGGUACGUGUGAUAUACACUUAUAUACUCUCCAGUAUAACCAUUUGUGUUUUUUGUUUUUUCAUGUUGGCCAAGAGAUCUCAGAAACAACUUUUUUCUAUAUUUCAAGAAAAAACAGAAAAGCAUUUUUUAAGGGAGGAAAAGAAGAAGGUUAAUGAGGGAUACACUUUGCUCCUCUGAGAAGAGAGGCGGUGGAUUGUAGACUUGGAACAAAGCAUUUGCUGUCAGCACAGUCAAUAUAUCAGUUUGUUCUUGCUUAACUACUUUCUGUUACAAAAGAAGGUUCUGCGGGGUAAGGGUGCAAUGACAAUAGUGUUUUUCAAGGCAUCAAUAAAACAGAAAGGAAAAGAAAACAAAGGAGAUGACAGCUAAGGAAAAAAGGCCAAGAAUGACAUAAUUAGAAAAUCUCUGAGGGCUCCAUUUCUGUUUUUACUAGACCACUGACUUAACAUAAACUAGCUUUUCCUUUUAGAGUUUAGUAGAAGCCAAGGACAAUAGUGGCUAGUAUUUGCACCAGCCCAAUCACUAGAUAACUAGACCUGACACCACAUGUUUUGGAUUAUAUUUGGGGAGGGGGGAAUGAAAAGGAAUUGUUUAAACAUCACACCUUAUUUAAAUUCUUCAAGCAGUAAUACUUUUAUCCAUGUGGUUAAUGUGUUCACUGAAAGAUUGCAAUCCCUCUAUAACUUACUAGGUGCUGUUUAUGAGAUCCAGAAAAAAAACAGCCUGGAGGCUGUUCUUGUGAUGAUGACUGAUGAAAGAUGAUGAUGAAUCUCUUUUUUAAAAAGUUCAUUGCCAGGUUUUUACUCAAAGACUUUUCAACUGGGUAAGCUGCUAAAGUUUGUAUUCUAUAGGCAUAUCCUCUGAGAGCUCAGGAUCACUUCAACAAUAUCAUUUCAGAAUAAAAAUAUAGUGGAAGGAAUCCUGUAUGUUAACACAAUCAGAAAAGUAAGGCAGUUAUCUAUGGGUUGGGAAGGCAAUUCUCCCACUCAGAGACUGUCUGCAAAAAAGGAAAAGAAUUAGAAAAAAAAGAAAUGAAGAAAGGAAGGGAAGGAAAGAAGGAAGGAAAGAAGGAAGGAAGGAAGGAAGGAAGGAAGGAAGGAAGGAAGGGAGGAAGAAAGAAACAAAGAAAGAAAGAAAGAAAGAAAGAAAGAAAGAAAGAAAGAAAGAAAGAAAGAAAGAAGGAAAGAAAGAAAAGAAAGAAGGAAAUAAAGAAAGAAAUGAGGAAAGAAAAAAAGAAAGAAAAAAAGGAAGGAAGGAAGAAAAGACUUAUAAAAGCAGAAAUGUUCCAGGUUUCUAGUCUGGUAACUUGAGUGUUAUAGAGGAAGGAAAGAUAGGGAAUCAGGCAAGAUCUCAUUUGGAAGGAAAAUGCAGCUGUGAGGAGUCUGGUUACCUCAGCAGCUUUCCCUCUAUGUCUGUAUUUGAGUCCUGUGCUGUGUCCCUGGGGAGAAACUUGCAUUGUUCUCUAAGCUGUUAUACAGAUUAUACCUAUAGACUGGGCAAGGAAGAUGCUAUAUCAAAGGGUCACUGACAGCUCUGUUCUUGGCAAUAUCUUCUGAGACUUCCACUGUUUUUUUGAGCGGGCUUGUGUCAAAGAUCACAGGACCCUGAUGCUGGGAAAUAUCAAAUGAUAUCUUGUCCCCUUCCCCUUAAUCUUGACUCUAAGGUUAGCCACUUCAUAAUCUCAUCUAUUAUAGACUCUCUUAUACCCUGACUUUCUGCAGCUCCCAUGCUGUUGACCCUUAACUCUGGGAAAUGUUUGCCAUUUAUUUCUUCCACUCAUAUUCUUAAGUCACUGGAGGGAUUCAUAAAAUCAAGCUGAUUAGACCCAUCCUUUCUACUCUCUCCUUUACUCUUACUUCUAGAAAGAGUAAUCCACUCAGGCUUUCAUUUCUUCAACCCAUUGCAAACUGGUUUUUAUUCACAUUUAUUAGUAUUUAUAUUAUUCUACUGAAACAACUUCUCGUGAAUGACCCUCUUACGGCCAAAUCCAAAAGGGUUUUGUCUUCAUGUUGCUGCUUAACAGAAUACCCAACACGUGGUAGGCAUUUAAUAAAUGCUUCUUGACUUGACUUCUUUGUGGCACUGGGUAUUGUAGAUGGUCCUCUUCCUUUCUGAUAUCCUGUUGUACAUUUGCUUUCAUGUUACUUAACAUUGUUUUCCUCCUCCCUCUCUGAUCAUUUUUCUGUUUUGCUAGUUUCUUAUCUUUCUCAAGGUUGGCCAGGUGGUGCAGCAGAUAGAGUACCAGGUCUGGAGUCGAGAAUACUCAUCUUCCUGAGUUCAAAUCCAGCCCAAGAUAGUAGCUGAGUGACUCUGGGCAAAUCACUUAAGUGAUUACACCAUUUGCCUUAGUUUCUCAUCUGUAAAAUGAGCUGGAGAAGGAAAUGGCAAAACCAUUCCAGUAUCUCUGUUUAUAAACCCCCAAAUGGAAUUACAAAGAAUCAGAUACAACUGAGCAAAAAGACCAAAAAGACAUCUUUCUCAAUCUUUUAAAUCUAAAUCUUUAGAUGUUCCCUAAAAUUCUGUCCUUAGAC
rnacentral:lncRNA from 1 species